rnacentral:rRNA from 1 species
AACGAACGGUAGCGGCGUGGAUUAGGCAUGCAAGUCGUACGUGAUCCUCGCUUCGGUGAGGUGAAAGUGGCGAACGGGUGAGUAAUGCAUAGCUAACCUACCCUUGGGGCUGGGAUAACCAGGAGAAAUCUUGGCUAAUACCGGAUAGGCUCGCGGAGUUGCAUAAUUCUGCGAGUAAAGCAGGCCUCUUAACAAUGCUUGCACCCGGGGACGGGACUAUGUCCUAUCAGCUAGUUGGUAGGGUAAUGGCCUACCAAGGCGAUGACGGGUAGCCGACCUGAGAGGGUGACCGGCCACACUGGGACUGAGACACUGCCCAGACUCCUACGGGAGGCUGCAGUCGAGAAUCUUCCGCAAUGGGGGCAACCCUGACGGAGCGACGCCGCGUGUGGGAUGAAGGCCUUCGGGUUGUAAACCACUGUCACGCAUUAUGAAGGGCCAGGCGUUAACAGCGCUUGGCUUUGACAAAGGUGCGGGAGGAAGCCACGGCUAACUCUGUGCCAGCAGCCGCGGUAAGACAGAGGUGGCGACCGUUGUUCGGAAUCACUGGGCAUAAAGCGCGUGUAGGCGGCAUCGUAAGUCGGGUGUGAAAUCCCUCGGCCCAACCGAGGAAUUGCGCCCGAAACUACCUUGCUUGAGGACCAGAGGGGAGCCUGGAAUUCCUGGUGGAGCGGUGAAAUGCGUUGAUAUCAGGAGGAACACCGGCGGCGAAGGCGAGGCUCUGGCUGGUUACUGACGCUGAGACGCGAAAGCUAGGGGAGCAAACGGGAUUAGAUACCCCGGUAGUCCUAGCCGUAAACGAUGGGCACUAGGUAGGGGGGGACCCAAUCCCUCCCUGCUGGAGCAAAUGUAUUAAGUGCCCCGCCUGGGGAGUAUAGUCGCAAGGCUGAAACUCAAAGGAAUUGACGGGGGCUCACACAAGCGGUGGAGCAUGUUGUUUAAUUCGAAGCAACGCGCAGAACCUUACCUGGGCUUGACAUGCUAGUGGUAGGAACCUGAAAGGGGGACGACUCUCGAAAGAGAGAGCUAGCACAGGUGUUGCAUGGCUGUCGUCAGCUCGUGUCGUGAGAUGUCGGGUUAAGUCCCAUAACGAGCGAAACCCUUGUCUUCAGUUGCCAGCGGGUAAAGCCGGGGACUCUGGAGAGACUGCCGGUGUUAAACCGGAGGAAGGUGGGGAUGACGUCAAGUCCUCAUGGCCCUUACGCCCAGGGCUACAAACGUGCCACAAUGGCCGGUACAGAGGGAAGCGAAAUCGUGAGAUCAAGCAAAUCCCAAAAAGCCGGUCUCAGUUCGGAUUGAGGGCUGCAACUCGCCCUCAUGAGGCUGGAAUCGCUAGUAAUCGGGGAUCAGCUACGCCCCGGUGAAUAUGUUCC